rnacentral:rRNA from 1 species
GAUGAACGCUGGCGGCGUGCCUAAUACAUGCAAGUCGAGCGAACAGAUGAGGAGCUUGCUCCUCUGACGUUAGCGGCGGACGGGUGAGUAACACGUGGAUAACCUACCUAUAAGACUGGGAUAACUUCGGGAAACCGGAGCUAAUACCGGAUAAUAUAUUGAACCGCAUGGUUCAAUAGUGAAAGACGGUUUUGCUGUCACUUAUAGAUGGAUCCGCGCCGCAUUAGCUAGUUGGUAAGGUAACGGCUUACCAAGGCAACGAUGCGUAGCCGACCUGAGAGGGUGAUCGGCCACACUGGAACUGAGACACGGUCCAGACUCCUACGGGAGGCAGCAGUAGGGAAUCUUCCGCAAUGGGCGAAAGCCUGACGGAGCAACGCCGCGUGAGUGAUGAAGGUCUUCGGAUCGUAAAACUCUGUUAUUAGGGAAGAACAAAUGUGUAAGUAACUAUGCACGUCUUGACGGUACUUAAUCAGAAAGCCACGGCUAACUACGU